UACGAAGGGGGCUAGCGUUGUUCGGAAUCACUGGGCGUAAAGCGCACGUAGGCGGAUCUUUAAGUCAGGGGUGAAAUCCCGAGGCUCAACCUCGGAACUGCCUUUGAUACUGGGGAUCUCGAGUCCGGGAGAGGUGAGUGGAACUGCGAGUGUAGAGGUGAAAUUCGUAGAUAUUCGCAAGAACACCAGUGGCGAAGGCGGCUCACUGGCCCGGAACUGACGCUGAGGCGCGACAGCGUGGGGAGCAAACAGG
rnacentral:rRNA from 1 species